GGUGACGAAGACGGGGGCGGCGGCGUCGCUGGAAACCACGUGACCACGGUGCUCAAACAGCGCCUGAGCUUCCUGCAGCUCCGUCCUCCACACUGAGGUGUCGUAGAUCUGAACCGCUCCGCUGAAACCUGCCCGAGGUCCUCAGGAACCAGAGACUGACAGGGACAGGAUCAUGUCCACGAGUGUUCUGGUCUGACGUCAAACACAAAGAGAGGAAGGACGGAGGACUUAGUAACAACAACAACACCUCUGCCACGAGCGAGGUCACAACGCCACGACUCCCAAGCUGUGGGAACUAACGUCUCCCAUGAACUGACCUGACACAGCGAUACAGUUGUCCAACGCUGGAGCCCACGACAGCCUGACGUCGUCCGGGCCGCAG